UCCGGAACAGUGUGUAAUAUUUAUACUAGAACUAAUUAUGUACUUAGUGAAAUUUGUUAAGACCAGUGCCAAAUGAAUCCUAAAAAGUAUACCUAAAACUUAGGAAAAAGAAUUGCUUUAACGAGUAUGCUUUGUAUCAUGUUAUCUACAUUUGACAAGUUUGUGAUUGUUUACUUAAUUAUCUAUACAUGUUUGCUCUAUUUUAUUAUUUGUUUGCAAUCACCCACUGAGCAUUAGCUCAGCAUGUUGGUUUUUACCUCACGCAGGUUGUAGAUAAAUGUAUAGUUUAGUAGGGUUGUUUC
rnacentral:lncRNA from 1 species